ACCUAGGUGGCUCAGUUGGUUGAGCAUCUGACUUUGGCUCAGGUCAUGAUCUCACGGUUCAUGAGUUCAGGCCUCACAUUGGGUU
rnacentral:tRNA from 1 species